rnacentral:rRNA from 1 species
UACGUAGGGUGCAUGCGUUGUCCGGAAUUAUUGGGCGUAAAGAGCUCGUAGGCGGUUCGUCGCGUCGGCUGUGAAAUCCCGAGGCUCAACCUCGGGUCUGCAGUCGAUACGGGCGGACUGGAGUUCGGCAGGGGAGACUGGAAUUCCUGGUGUAGCGGUGAAAUGCGCAGAUAUCAGGAGGAACACCGGUGGCGAAGGCGGGUCUCUGGGCCGAUACUGACGCUGAGGAGCGAAAGCGUGGGGAGCGAACAGG